GGAUGUGAUCAUACCAGCACUAAAGCAUCGGAUCCCAUCAGAACUCCGAAGUUAGCGUUUUUUGGGCGAGAGUAGUUCUAGGAUGGGUGACCUGCUGGGUAGUCCUCGUGUUAAGCGUGCU
rnacentral:rRNA from 1 species